rnacentral:rRNA from 1 species
AUUGAACGCUAGCGGGAUGCCUUACACAUGCAAGUCGAACGGCAGCGCGGACUUCGGUCUGGCGGCGAGUGGCGAACGGGUGAGUAAUGUAUCGGAACGUGCCCAGUAGCGGGGGACAACCACUCGAAAGAGUGGCUAAUACCGCAUACGCCCUACGGGGGAAAGGGGGGGAUCGAAAGACCUCUCACUAUUGGAGCGGCCGAUAUCGGAUUAGCUAGUUGGUGGGGUAAAGGCCUACCAAGGCGACGAUCCGUAGCUGGUUUGAGAGGACGACCAGCCACACUGGGACUGAGACACGGCCCAGACUCCUACGGGAGGCAGCAGUGGGGAAUUUUGGACAAUGGGGGAAACCCUGAUCCAGCCAUUCCGCGUGUGCGAUGAAGGCCUUCGGGUUGUAAAGCACUUUUGGCAGGAAAGAAAUCGUGUGGGUUAAUACCCUGCGCGGAUGACGGUACCUGCAGAAUAAGCACCGGCUAACUACGUG